CGCGAAGAACCUUACCAAGGCUUGACAUAUACGGAAACAUCCAGAGAUGGGUGCCCCCUUUCGUGGUCGGUAUACAGGUGGUGCAUGGUUGUCGUCAGCUCGUGUCGUGAGAUGUUGGGUUAAGUCCCGCAACGAGCGCAACCCUCGUUCUAUGUUGCCAGCACGUGAUGGUGGGGACUCAUAGGAGACUGCCGGGGUCAACUCGGAGGAAGGUGGGGAUGACGUCAAAUCAUCAUGCCCCUUAUGUCUUGGGCUUCACGCAUGCUACAAUGGCCGGCACAAAGGGCUGCGAUACCGCGAGGUGGAGCGAAUCCCAAAAAACCGGUCUCAGUUCGGAUUGGGGUCUGCAACUCGACCCCAUGAAGUCGGAGUCGCUAGUAAUCGCAGAUCAGCAACGCUGCGGUGAAUACGUUCCCGGGCCUU
rnacentral:rRNA from 1 species